CCUACGGGCGGCAGCAGUAGGGAAUUUUCCACAAUGGGCGAAAGCCUGAUGGAGCAACGCCGCGUGGGUGAAGAAGGUCUUCGGAUCGUAAAACCCUGUUGUUAGAGAAGAAAGUGCGUGAGAGUAACUGUUCACGUUUCGACGGUAUCUAACGAGAAAGCCCCGGCUAACUACGUGCCAGCAGCCGCGGUAAUACGUAGGUGGCAAGCGUUGUCCGGAUUUAUUGGGCGUAAGGGGAACGCAGGCGGUCUUUUAAGUCUGAUGUGAAAGCCUUCGGCUUAACCGGAGUAGUGCAUUGGAAACUGGGAGCCUUGAGUGCAGAAGAGGAGAGUGGAACUCCAUGUGUAGCGGUGAAAUGCGUAGAGAUAUGGAAGAACACCAGUGGCGAAAGCGGCUCUCUGGGCUGUAACUGACGCUGAGGUUCGAAAGUGUGGGUAGCAAACAGGAUUAGAUACCCGAGUAGUC
rnacentral:rRNA from 1 species